CCCCUGGUGGUCCAGUAGCUAAGACUCUGAACUCCCAAUACAGGGUGCCCAGGUUCGAUCCCUGGUCAGGGAA
rnacentral:tRNA from 1 species